CAGCGUUGUGUUCUGAAUCAUUGAAAGAACAUGUUAGGAGCACUUGUCUCCUUGCGAUUAUUUUGGUCUCAAGUGUUUUAAAAUGUUGACGAAAUCCGAUUUUUUUUUCUUUUUUGUACUCAAUUGGGGGCUAAAUUAAUUGGUCGUGUACAGUGGGAAGUGAGUCUGAUGAUGAACAAUUAGCGGGAAAUACGCUUUUUGCACGAUUUGGUCUGUCUUCCAACUCCAAGUGACGAACAAAGUAUUUGAAACAACCAAAACUAAUCAAACUUUAAACUAAAAAAAACUAAAAAAAAAAAACUUAGGAGAAGAAGAGCUUGUCAUGUCUUUGUCAGUCAGUGAUCUUCGUGCUUCCAUGUUCCAAAGGCUUUUCUAGCUUUGAUUAUUCACACGUGUGGUUUUUAUUUGUUUAUUACUAGUUUGUUUUCUUUUCAAUUUUUUUUUUUUUUCAUUUUCAGAAUUUAUUUUUAGUAGGAAGUAGGAACACAUGACAGUGGAUAUGAUGUAACAUUUAUAUCAUAAGAAAAAAAAAGGAAAAGAUUUGUAUGUAGUGUAUUCCUCUGUCGUGUGUCAAUUAAUAUUCGUAGUUGUACAAAUAUUAAUUCCGGGGCCAAAACAUGAUCGAUGACUGUUAAUGACACAUUUACCAUUCUUCUACUCCAUCA
rnacentral:lncRNA from 1 species